GAUUAGAACGCUGGCGGCAUUGCCUUACACAUGCAAGUCGAGCGCGAAAGGGGGCAACCCCGAGUAGAGCGGCGGACGGGUGAGUAACGCAUCGGAACGUGCCCAGUAGUGGGGGACAACCUCGAGAAAUCGAGGCUAAUACCGCAUACGACCCACGGGUGAAAGCGGGGGACCGCAAGGCCUACGCGCUAUUGGAGCGGCCGAUGUCCGAUUAGCUAGUUGGCGGGGUAAGAGCCCACCAAGGCGACGAUCGGUAGCUGGUCUGA
rnacentral:rRNA from 1 species